UACGUAGGUGGCGAGCGUUGUCCGGAUUUACUGGGCGUAAAGGGAGCGUAGGCGGACUUUUAAGUGAGAUGCGAAAUACUCGGGCUCAACUUGAGUGCUGCAUUUCAAACUGGAAGUCUAGAGUGCAGGAGAGGAGAAUGGAAUUCCUAGUGUAGCGGUGAAAUGUGUAGAGAUUAGGAAGAACACCAGUGGCGAAGGCGAUUCUCUGGACUGUAACUGACGCUGAGGCUCGAAAGCGUGGGGAGCAAACAGG
rnacentral:rRNA from 1 species